UACACUCCUACGGGAGGCAGCAGUGGGGAAUUUUGGACAAUGGGCGAAAGCCUGAUCCAGCAAUGCCGCGUGAGUGAAGAAGGCCUUCGGGUUGUAAAGCUCUUUUGUCAGGGAAGAAACGGUGAGAGCUAAUAUCUUUUGCUAAUGACGGUACCUGAAGAAUAAGCACCGGCUAACUACGUGCCAGCAGCCGCGGUAAUACGUAGGGUGCAAGCGUUAAUCGGAAUUACUGGGCGUAAAGCGUGCGCAGGCGGUUUUGUAAGUCUGAUGUGAAAUCCCCGGGCUCAACCUGGGAAUUGCAUUGGAGACUGCAAGGCUAGAAUCUGGCAGAGGGGGGUAGAAUUCCACGUGUAGCAGUGAAAUGCGUAGAUAUGUGGAGGAACACCGAUGGCGAAGGCAGCCCCCUGGGUCAAGAUUGACGCUCAUGCACGAAAGCGUGGGGAGCAAACAGGAUUAGAAACCCUAGUAGUCCCAAGA
rnacentral:rRNA from 1 species